rfam:Schistosoma haematobium scaffold1391_2, whole genome shotgun sequence.
AGCCUUCUGUGUCCGUGGUGAGAUUUCGUCAGACACCAGAACAUAAAGGCUGAUGAGACUCUCAAGAUAAGUGAAGCG